ACUUUCCCUGUCAGGGGGUUGAGAACUGUUCAAUAAGCAUAUAGUGAGAGCAGACGUGCUAACACCAUAUCAACACAAUUGCAUCACCUGACUUCUAGAAGACAGAUAAUGGUGCAAUUUUUGGAAAU
ensembl:snRNA